ensembl:lncRNA
GAAGAUGACAAUUGUAGUAAUAUGAAGCAGGUACAAACAGUCCUAAAAAACAAGUGAAUUUUUUGCAUAAAAUGCAAUUAUAUAAAUAAGAAAAGAUGAGUAAUACUGUGGGCAACUUUGGCUCCCACAUGCUAAGGAUCCUUUGAGAAAUCAAGUGGAGCCUCCUCAGACGCACCCACCACAGGGUGGGGAGGCUGGGCUAUCCAUCCAUUGGCUCCCAUUCCCACUGGUUGAAAGAUGUCCCUCCAGAAAUUAUUCCCCACAGUCUGGUCAGUGCCUGUGGGUGGCUGAGCAACUUCCUGUGUUCUGGAAAAAGGUCUCAUGUGCACACACGCACAUGCUCUCACAUACUUUCUUUUUAUUAACGUAUGUCUAGAUGUUAUAUCUCCUUGUCUAAAUAUUUUGUCUACUCUCUGUAUAAUAUUGCCUCUCCUUUAUAGACUUGUAUUGUCCAGAUAUUAUACUCCAUUUCAAUUCUUCGAAGAAGCUUUCAAAGAAGAUUAGGAGGUUGGGACAGCUCACAUGCAACCCAAAACAAAGGCAGUGGCAGUGGCAGUGGCAGUGGCAGUAGCAGGGGCACUGGAAUUUUGUUUACAGAGCCAAAACUUGCCACCGUGGGUGGAAAAUUCCUGUUGGACAGCACGUCUGAGAACUUUCCUCCCUGCCUCUCCUCUGUCUUCAGUGAGGCUGGAGAACUGGGCCAGUGACCUUCAUCAACCGCUUUGUUGAACUUUCUGGCAACAGGGGGCCGAUUGAGGACAAGCUAGAAAGUACCUGGACCACUCCUCCAAAGGGGCAGGUGUCCUCAGCAGGGCUGCAUGAGGUGGUGAUGGCAAGGCCUUUAUGAAUGAGCUCUAUAAGAUGUUUCCACUUUCUAACUCAAGGUGUCUUCUGAGUGGUUGGAAUGGGGGUUCCCUUCGAGGCCCAGGACUGCAGGGAAAGGAAGUUUGGAUUUCAUUGUCCCCCGGGGUAGAUGUUGAUGGUACACUCCCACUGCUAUUGGGGGCCCCUUCUCUGAUCAUCCUGCCCUUCAGUCACUAUUUGAUCUUCUUCCACCUUCGCCAUCCCUUCCUGGUCUCUCCUGGGGUUAUAAUCUCAGUCUCCUUUGGGCCAGGAUCUAGGGAGAGCCUGGAUGGCAUCGGCCUCAUAGAGGAGACUGCCUGCCCAGGAGGCAAUCAGAGAGUCAGUUUGCACCCUAGACAACGUCAUAACUUUCCUGAGUGGCUGGACACGUUGGACUUGCCGGGAGACAGCACUGGCUUCAUUUGAGAGUCCUGGCUGGACCCCGAGGGGACUCCGGAGAGGAGACUGAGCCUGCGGGAUCAGACACCGCCUCUCAGCGAUGUAAAACCGAGAUGGUAGCUCAGAGCUUCGGGCCCUGCCUCCUCCCGGAACUUCUCUAGCGCUUCUCCACAUCCUGGAGCCAGGAAAGGGUAGGAGCCGACAGCAUCACCACGCGGGCAGCGAAGCUUUCUGUGAUGGGGACCCGCCUGGAUGCUGCCUUCCACAGCAUGUCUUCCUGCCAGAGACCAACAAUUGUCAGCAUAGCAACACCGGGCCUUUCUCUUCUAGUUGAGCCCUGCAGCUGUCUACGCGGCUGUCUGUGAGUGAUCUCCCAGGGACAAGGACAAGAGAUGCAUUUCAGUGGAACUUCUCCAGGCCAGUGUGCUGACUUCUGACCAGCCUCAUCUGAAAGCACACCCUUUACAGACACAGACACCCUGAGGUACUGGGCCUCCAGCUUGCUCUAGGAGGACAGAGGACGACGGGUUAAGUUUGUUUGACAUAACUAGAAGGGGCUGUGCCUCUUCCCAGAAGAGCAAGGCCCAUUCAUGGCGAUUAGCAAGGCCCACCACUUCUAGCUGGCUUUUGCUUAUAGCAGCUGAGACACUGUUUCUUUCAGUAGAGGGAAAUCAAUGGGCUGGUGAUCCAACACUUCGGACUCCAAAGAAACCAGGACAGGUGACAAAGGUGCCCCAGGGUGAGACUCCUGCUUGCUGUGCCCAUGCCGGAGCUACGUCUUCUCUGAAAGCCAGCAGCAAAAGUGCUGACAUUUCGAUAUUUCCUUGUUGGUGUUCACUACUCCACAUCAAAGGGGGAACUCUGUCUGGGCAGGCCCCAGGCAUUCUGAGUGAAGAUGAGAGCAGAAGUGUCUAAAAGUGUAUGGUGGUGUCCCAUGAGACUGCAACAGAUGUGCUCUGACUGAGAUCACCCCAGCUGCUCUGAAUAAUGGUAGGAACAGAAAUAUCCAGAGCACAGUCCUGUUUGCCACAGAAAGUCAUAGCACCGUAGAAAGUCACCAAACACCUGAGUCUCAGCAACUUCUCUGUGAACGGAGAUCAGCACCAGCUACCUUACCACCGCUGGAAGAAUUCACUCAACCAACAUACAAUAAAGUAUUCCAUAAACAGUAA